UACGUAGGGUGCAAGCGUUGUCCGGAAUUAUUGGGCGUAAAGAGCUCGUAGGCGGUUUGUCGCGUCUGCUGUGAAAACUCAGGGCUUAACUCUGAGCUUGCAGUGGGUACGGGCAGACUAGAGUGCGGUAGGGGAGACUGGAAUUCCUGGUGGAGCGGUGAAAUGCGCAGAUAUCAGGAGGAACACCCGUAGCGAAGGCGGCACUCUGGGCCGAUACUGACACUGAAGAGCGAAAGCGUGGGGAGCGAACAGGG
rnacentral:rRNA from 1 species